rnacentral:rRNA from 1 species
GAUGAACGCUGGCGGCGUGCCUAAUACAUGCAAGUCGAGCGAACGGACGAGAAGCUUGCUUUUCUGAUGUUAGCGGCGGACGGGUGAGUAACACGUGGAUAACCUACCUAUAAGACUGGGAUAACUUCGGGAAACCGGAGCUAAUACCGGAUAAUAUUUUGAACCGCAUGGUUCAAAAGUGAAAGACGGUCUUGCUGUCACUUAUAGAUGGAUCCGCGCUGCAUUAGCUAGUUGGUAAGGUAACGGCUUACCAAGGCAACGAUGCAUAGCCGACCUGAGAGGAGGUCCGGCCACACUGGAACUGAGCCCCGGCCCAGACCCCUACGGGAGGCAGCAGUGGGGAUUUUUCCGCAAGGGGCGAAAGCCGGACGGAGCAACGCCGCGUGGGUGAUGAAGGUCUUCGGGUCGUAAACCUCUUUUGUUGGGAAAGAACAUGUUUGUACAAAUCUGUCCACUCGUUGACGGUACCUAAAGAAAAAGCCACGGCUAACUACGUG